rnacentral:rRNA from 1 species
CAUUUACGUCCCCUGCCCUUUGUACACACCGCCCGUCGCUACUACCGAUUGAUGGCUCAGUGAGGCGUCCGGACUGGCCCAGAGAGGCGGGCAACUGCCACUCAGGGCCGGAAAGCUCUCCAAACUCGGUCAUUUAGAGGAAGUAAAAGUCGUAACAAGGUCUCCGUUGGUGAACCAGCGGAGGGAUCAUUA